AUCGCUUCUCGGCCUUUUGGCUAAGAUCAAGUGUAAAAAUUCAUCUUCAUUGUGAGCAUAUUUUGCUAAAAAGUACUCUUCUAGAGGAAUUGUAUUUUUGGUUGAAGUUGUUAUGCUAAUAACCUCAGAAUAUGCAGC
ensembl:snRNA U2 U2 spliceosomal RNA